AGAGGGAGAGAGAGAGAGAAGGUAAGUUAUACACAAAAGGAGGCUUCUCUCAGACGAAACGAAUAAAGAAAAGCUGAGAAGAAUCCAUAAAAGGUGACAAAAGCAAGAAGGAGAAGCAAAGCAUGUUUCCUUAUCUUGUCUUCUGAUUCACUCACUAUUCUUCUUCUUCCUCAUCAUCAUGAUCAUUAAAGAAAAGAAUGGAGGGUACUUAUCAGUAUUCUGCAACAAAGGUGAUGAGGGUCUCAAGAAGGGCAUUUUCGUUAGAGAAGAAGAAUCAUUAGUUCCAUAACUCUUUUGUGUCGUUGAUGAUCAGAUUCAUUUCUUUAUGUUUUUUUAAAAGUUUUAAUCCUCUUAUUAAACCGAUAAAAAAAUUGUGUGACCAGGUCGGGAAGUAGUAGUAGUGAUAUUGGCGGAAUGGCUCAAUCUCCUUGUCACAUUUAUCACUUUCUCUGUUUCUCUUUUAACAUUUUAGAAUUGUAUGAUCUUAUACUUAAUUCUUAACUACAUUACUUGUUUUGCCUUUU